rnacentral:misc_RNA from 1 species
ACGCAACUGGCGCCGGUUUACCGGCAUGCCUGUUCCAGUGUGCUAGGAGAGUAAACUAUCAUUAUAAAAUAUAAUGCGAUUGAGGUACAUUUAUGUUCUUCUUUCGUUAAAUAUGAAGGAGUGAAAGAUGAGUAAUCUCUCGCACUGGCAAACGAAGUAGUCAUGCUUGUUCGUGAUCUCGUUUAACCAGUGCUAAAGGUUAUUGCUUAGCUAUAAAUCACAACUAAUCAAUUAACUAUCUCCAAAUACGGCAUCUGAAAUCCGACAAAGAUACCCGCUGAUCUUA